GUGAUUAUAGCUGUCCCCUACAAACACGAGUCGAGGCUUCGAGUUAGAGGGUCAAGUAGUUUUGUUUAAUGCACACAAAAGGACUUUCUUUUAUACAAGUUUUCAGGUCAGAGGCACACCCCCUGGACCUGGUGGUAAACUGUGACAAAAGGGACACAAACCAAUGGGAACACUAAUUAACAAAAUAACACUCCCACAUACACAGUAAAAUCCCUCCCCUCUAUCCUGGAGAUAAUUGGCUUAAGGCACUGCAGUAAACUCAAUUAUCUCCAGGUACAGAAAAUAUCUACAUUUUACACUAACAGUAAAAAUACAUAAAAUACAUAAAAAUACAUAAUUCCUAUUAUAUUACACAGAACCCCAACAUUUAACCUAU